rnacentral:rRNA from 1 species
UUGGGUUAAGUCCCGCAACGAGCGCAACCCUUGUCCUGUGUUGCCAGCGUGCCCUUCGGGGUGACGGGGACUCACAGGAGACCGCCGGGGUCAACUCGGAGGAAGGUGGGGACGACGUCAAGUCAUCAUGCCCCUUAUGUCUUGGGCUGCACACGUGCUACAAUGGCAGGUACAAUGAGCUGCGAUACCGUGAGGUGGAGCGAAUCUCAAAAAGCCUGUCUCAGUUCGGAUUGGGGUCUGCAACUCGACCCCAUGAAGUCGGAGUUGCUAGUAAUCGCAGAUCAGCAUUGCUGCGGUGAAUACGUUCCCGGGCCUUGUACACACCGCCCGUCACGUCACGAAAGUCGGUAACACCCGAAGCCGGUGGCCCAACCCCUUGUGGAGGGAGCUGUCGAAGGU